rnacentral:rRNA from 1 species
GACGAACCGUGCGAACGUUGUUCGGAAUCACUGGGCUUAAAGGGCGCGUAGGCGGGCGGUCAAGUCAGAGGUGAAAUCCCACGGCUCAACCGUGGAAGUGCCCCUGAUACUGACUGUCUCGAGGGAGGUAGGGGCGUGCGGAACUUCCGGUGGAGCGGUGAAAUGCGUAGAUAUCGGAAGGAACACCGAUGGCGAAAGCAGCGCGCUGGACCUCUACUGACGCUGAGGCGCGAAAGCCAGGGGAGCAAACGGGA